rnacentral:rRNA from 1 species
CCCUUAGAUGUCCUGGGCCGCACGCGCGCUACACUGAUGCAUUCAACGAGUUUUACCUUGGCCGAGAGGCCUGGGCAAUCUUUUAAACCUGCAUCGUGAUAGGGAUAGAUUAUUGCAAUUAUUAAUCUUGAACGAGGAACUCCUAGUAAACGCAAAUCAUCAAUUUGCAUUGAUUACGUCCCUGCCCUUUGUACACACCGCCCGUCGCACCUACCGAUUGAAUGGUCCGGUGAAGCCUCGGGAUUGUGGCCAGUUCACUUUAUUGGGAGUUGGCUGUGAGAACUUGUCUAAACCUUAUCAUUUAGAGGAAGGUGAAGUCGUAACA